UCGAGCGAACGGACGAGAAGCUUGCAUCUCUGAUGUUAGCGGCGGACGGGUGAGUAACACGUGGAUAACCUACCUAUAAGACUGGGAUAACUUCGGGAAACCGGAGCUAAUACCGGAUAAUAUUUUGAACCGCAUGGUUCAAAAGUGAAAGACGGUCUUGCUGUCACUUAUAGAUGGAUCCGCGCUGCAUUAGCUAGUUGGUAAGGUAACGGCUUACCAAGGCAACGAUGCAUAGCCGACCUGAGAGGGUGAUCGGCCACACUGGAACUGAGACACGGUCCAGACUCCUACGGGAGGCAGCAGUAGGGAAUCUUCCGCAAUGGGCGAAAGCCUGACGGAGCAACGCCGCGUGAGUGAUGAAGGUCUCCGGAUCGUAAAACUCUGUUAUUAGGGAAGAACAUAUGUGUAAGUAACUGUGCACAUCUUGACGGUACCUAAUCAGAAAGCCACGGCUAACUACGUGCCAGCAGCCGCGGUAAUACGUAGGUGGCAAGCGUUAUCCGGAAUUAUUGGGCGUAAAGCGCGCGUAGGCGGUUUUUUAAGUCUGAUGUGAAAGCCCACGGCUCAACCGUGGAGGGUCAUUGGAAACUGGAAAACUUGAGUGCAGAAGAGGAAAGUGGAAUUCCAUGUGUAGCGGUGAAAUGCGCAGAGAUAUGGAGGAACACCAGUGACGAAGGCGACUUUCUGGUCUGUAACUGACGCUGAUGUGCGAAAGCGUGGGGAUCAAAC
rnacentral:rRNA from 1 species